rnacentral:tRNA from 1 species
GUGUCCGUAGCUCAAAGGAAGAGCUCCUCUCUACGAAGGAGGAGGUUGGAGGUUCGAAUCCUCUCGGGCACACCA